CAAAGCCUCACACGCUGUUGCCACAUGUCACAUCAGGGCACAAACCUUCCCCUUUAACAGAAGUAAUAAGCCCUCAGACUGUGUACUGUGCACCUCUUGAAAGACCACUGGGCCAAAGUCACAGCACCUACCAAAGCAACCACGUGGAGAAGCUGAGUGUUGGUGCUUUAGACAGGCAGAGGAUAAGGAGACAGAUGGAAUUUUGAACCUUUCCAAGGAAUUUCUUGUGUUGGACCAUGGAGAUCCUACAAAUCAUCCUGUUUCUAGCUCUGGAUUGGAUGAG